rnacentral:tRNA from 1 species
GCCACGGUCGCAUAAUCUGGUAUUGCGCAGGAUUGCUAAUCCUGUCCCUUUGGGAUCGCCGGUUCAAAACAGAUCUCCCAGAUCUGGUAGGGGGAUUCACGGUCACUCGUGUUCCCGUUCAUAUCCGGCCCGUGGCG